CCUAGGAAACUGACUAGUCUCUCAAUAUAAAGCUGAGAUCAAAGCCCUCUCUCCUUGGGUCCUUCGAUUUUAACCUCCUCUCCUGUCAGUUCUCUCUUCCUGAUCCCGCUGUAGUUAGCUCUUCCACUACCUUCGAUUUCAAGAUGCGCCCACCAAUCAACAUUGGUGGUCGUUCGUAUGGACAAUCAUCGAGUUCUCAAGCCGCUGGUUUUCAAAGAACUUUGCCUCCUAGAAUUUUGAAUCCCCCAGCUCCAAUCGUUGAACCAGUUGAGCAGAUGGAAGAAAAUUUACCUGUGCAACGUGAUGUUCGAGUGCUUGAUCCGACUCGAAGAAAUGGAGCUAAAUGGUUCAAAAACAACACCGAAGUAUCAACUCGUGUUAGGAAAAUCAUUGAAGGGAAUUUCAAAGGAGCGUGGUAUAGCUGG